rnacentral:lncRNA from 1 species
UCUCCCCCACCUCCUUUUGCUUCCUCUUACAAGGUGGUCAGGUGGUUUGGUUUUUAGUGUGCAGGAUCAAAAAUAGAUUUGGGUAAAAAAUAGAUCAGUGGUUCACAAUCAUCUCAAGGUGGAAAUACAUUAAGUUGGGUAUUAAGCUGAGUCCAAAUAUUCAUUUUUAAAAAGCCCCAAUGAUGAUUCCUGCCUCUGUCUGUUCUCAUCC